GCGGGUGUGGCGGAAUUGGCAGACGCACCAGACUUAGGAUCUGGCGCCGCAAGGCGUGGGGGUUCGACUCCCUUCACCAGCACCA
rnacentral:tRNA from 1 species